rnacentral:lncRNA from 1 species
CCUUAAUUUAAGCUGGCGAAGAAUUUAUUUAGAAAUCUAAGCUGGACUUGUGAUGAAAUUUCUCACUGACGGAAUGGUUAUGGAUUGUCUUAUGAACGUUAUAAAGAGCAUUGGAGCUAAGGCGAUGACCUUAGUGGAAGUUGUGAAGUGUUUGAAUUUGAGAUUACCGCCCUAGUGGUGGAAUUGGGAAUGAUAUGGAGGCAUUGUGAUGCAAUACCGAAUGGUGAAUCAAAUAAUCACCUUUGGUGCGCGAGUUUGGAUGAUUCGUGGGUUUCCGUUACGGUCGGAAGGGAUGUUACCAUGGAUGUUGAUGGUAGAGCUGGUUCGUGCCAAAAAAGAUUUGAGUUGUGGGAUGUUG